ACAGGGAUUGCCCUAGUAACGGCGAGUGAAGCGGCAACAGCUCAAAUUUGAAAUCUGGCUCUCGGGCCCGAGUUGUAAUUUGUAGAGGAUGCUUUUGAUGCGGUGCCUUCCGAGUUCCCUGGAACGGGACGCCAUAGAGGGUGAGAGCCCCGUCUGGUUGGAUGCCAAAUCUCUGUAAAGCUCCUUCGACGAGUCGAGUAGUUUGGGAAUGCUGCUCUAAAUGGGAGGUAUAUGUCUUCUAAAGCUAAAUACCGGCCAGAGACCGAUAGCGCACAAGUAGAGUGAUCGAAAGAUGAAAAGCACUUUGAAAAGAGAGUUAAAAAGUACGUGAAAUUGUUGAAAGGGAAGCGUUUAUGACCAGACUUGGGCUUGGUUAAUCAUCUGGGGUUCUCCCCAGUGCACUUUUCCAGUCCAGGCCAGCAUCAGUUUUCGCCGGGGGAUAAAGGCUUCGGGAAUGUGGCUCCCUCCGGGGAGUGUUAUAGCCCGUUGCGUAAUACCCUGGCGGGGACUGAGGUUCGCGCAUCUGCAAGGAUGCUGGCGUAAUGGUCAUCAACGACCCGUCUUGAAACACGGACCAAGGAGUCGUCUUCGUAUGCGAGUGUUCGGGUGUCAAACCCCUACGCGUAAUGAAAGUGAACGCAGGUGAGAGCUUCGGCGCAUCAUCGACCGAUCCUGAUGUUCUCGGAUGGAUUUGAGUAAGAGCAUACGGGGCCGGACCCGAAAGAAGGUGAACUAUGCCUGUGUAGGGUGAAGCCAGAGGAAACUCUGGUGGAGGCUCGCAGCGGUU
rnacentral:rRNA from 1 species